CCUAUCCAACCUGGUGAACUGAAACAUCUAAGUAACCAGAGGAAAAGAAAGAAAAAUCGAUUCCGUCAGUAGCGGCGAGCGAAAGCGGAAUAGCCCAAACCUCAAGGGUUUCCCUUGGGGGGUUGUAGGAGCUUCAGAUGCUGAUGUGAAAAGGUAGUAGAACUGAAUUGGAAUGUUCGACCACAGAGGGUGACAGUCCCGUAAACGAAACCUGAUUAACUGAAGUAGAAGAUUUCCUGAGUAGGUCCAGUCACGUGAAACCUGGAUUGAAUCCGCGGGGACCAUCCCGCAAGGCUAAAUACUCUUCAACGACCGAUAGCUUACUAAGUAGCGUGAGUGAAAGAUGAAAAGAACCCCUGCUAGGGGAGGGAAAGAACCUGAAACCGUGUGCCUACAAGCGGUCGGAGCACUAUAGAAAGCUUGCUUUCCAUGUGUGACGGCGUGCCUUUUGCAUAAUGAUCCGGCGAGUUACGUUUUGUGGCAGGUUAAGGCCUUACGGGCUGGAGCCAGAGGGAAACCGAGUGUUAAUAGCGCGAUUUUGUCAUAGGGCGUAGACGCGAAACUGGAGUGAUCUAUCCAUGGGCAGGUUGAAGCGCGGGUUAUACUGCGUGGAGGACCGAACCCACUUGGGUUGAAAACCGAGGGGAUGACCUGUGGAGAGGAGUGAAAGUCUAAUCAAACCCAGAGAUAGCUCGUUCUCUUCGAAAUAGCUUUUGGGCUAGCCUCGUGCCACUAUUUGUUGGGGGUAGAGACACUGAUUUGGAUGGGGGCCCUCCGGGGUACCUCACUGAGCCAAACUCCGAAUACCAACAAAACUAUCACGGGAGUCAGUCCGCGGGGGAUAAGCUUCGCGGUCGAGAGGGAAACAACCCAGACCAUCGGCUAAGGUCCCGAAGUUAUAUUUAGUCACUAAGGAAGUUGAAGUGCUGAGACAGCCAGGAUGUUGGCUUAGAAGCAGCCACCAUUUAAAAAGUGCGUAACAGCUUACUGGUCGAGCAUUUCUGCGCCGAUAAUGAACGGGAGUAAAUAUAACACCGAAGCCGUGGACUCAGAUUUAUCUGAGUGGUAGAAGAGCGCUGUACAGCAGAUACAAGCCAUACCGAAAGGAGUGGUCGCGGGCUGUACAGGUGAUUAUGCCGGAAUGAGUAACGAUAAAACAGGUGAGAAUCCUGUUCGCCGAAAGCCUAAGGUUUCCUGGGGAAGGUAAUUCCGCCCAGGGUUAGCCGGUACCUUAGUCGAGGCUGAAGAGCGUAGACGAUGGAUAGCAGGUCAAUAUUCCUGCGCCGGUGUGUGGACUGAUGGAGGGACGGCGUCCGAAGUACUAGCGGAUCGGAUAGAAAUGUCCGUUGCCGACAUCCGAGUUGGGGUGGGUUAAAAGACACCCGGAAUACAAGGAUUAGGCUUAGGCCUUUUUUGGCUAUGUAGUACGAAGGACGUCCAAGAAAAGCUCCUAGGGUUGAAGCACACUGACCGUACUAAAACUGACACAGGUAGGCGAGUCGAGUAGACUAAGGCGCUCGGGAGAACGGUGGUUAAGGAACUCUGCAAAAUGGCCCCGUAAGUUCGCGAUAAGGGGUGCCCCUGGUGAUGCAAGCUGCUGGGGGCCACAGUAAAUCGGCUUCUUCGACUGUUUAUCAAAAACACAGGUCUCUGCAAACACGUAAGUGGACGUAUAGAGACUGACGCCUGCCCGGUGCUGGUAGGUUAAGGAAGUGGGUUAGCUCUUCGGAGUGAAGCUCCCGACCGAAGCCCCAGUAAACGGCGGCCGUAACUAUGACGGUCCUAAGGUAGCGAAGUUCCUUGUCGGGUAAGUUCCGACCUGCAUGAAAGGCGUAACGANAGNAGCACUGUCUCAACCACCNACNCGGUGAAAUUGUAGUCGUGGUGAAGAUGCCACGUACCCGCGGUUAGACGGAAAGACCCCGUGAACCUUUACUGUAGGCAGUUAUUGGGCUGAGAUAUGUUUUGUGUAGGAUAGGUGGGAGGCUUUGAUCAAGCGGCGCCAGCCGUUUGUGAGCCAUCCUUGAAAUACCACCCUGGAUAUGUUUUAGUUCUAACCUCGACUUGUGAAUCCAAGCGAGAGACAGUGGCUGUUGGGCAGUUUGGCUGGGGCGGUCUCCUCCCAAAGAGUAACGGAGGAGUGCAAUAGGUACACUCAGCGUGGUUGGCAAUCACGCGUCGAGCGCAAAGGUAGAAGUGUGCUAUACUGCGAGACUUAUCAGUCGAGCAGUUACGAAAGUAGGUCUUAGUGAUCCUGUAAUCCCGAAUGGAAGGGUUAUAGCUCAUCAGAUAAAAGGUACUCCGGGGAUAACAGGCUUAUCGCUCCCGAGCGUCCAUAGCGGCGGAGCGGUUUGGC
rnacentral:rRNA from 1 species